CUGAAGAGAUAACGGUUCAGGUCUGUGCUGAGUGUUCGGUGAGUGAGGGCUCCUGGAAGGAGAGCUUCAGAGCCUGUAGGCGCCAUGACACAGUGGAGGGGCGAGGCAUCGCACCCAUUGUUCUCUGAGCACAGCUGACACCCUAAGCGAACUGUUUUUCCGGGAAAGAUCUGCAAGUCUUAAUAAGAUGGAAGCCUGGUUAAGAGGAUUGCAUGACACCCUUCCUUUGGUCUUUGGCUUCCUUUAAAAAAGAAAACUUUCUCUAGAUUAACUCUCUGAAAUGUCCCAACAGGCUGGUUUUGGUCAAGCUUCGCCCAUUAAUAGUGUGGAUUCGGGCUUCCUGGCCCCUGAGAACGACACAGGAGCAGGCAUCAUCGCAUCGCUGGAAAUGAGUGUUUCCCGUUUGCUCUGCCAACGACUGAACGCAUGAGCACAGCAUCGACUUAUGAACACAGGCCUCCUCGGGAGACUUGAGCCAUUGGAGAGCGCCUCUCCUCCAUUAAAAGGGACUUGGUCUGGGUGACAGGAGAACGGUGGGAUGCUGGGAAAUGAAGGGAUUUUAGGAUUUAGCAGAACUUUGGUUCUAGUCUUCGCCCAUCACUUCCUAGCUGUGAGAUUGCCGCUGCAGCACUGAGUCCAUGAGGUGUCGGACACUGAGCUUCGUGAGCAAUUACUCAUUCUCUGCUCCUAGAAGUGUAAUUGCUUCUAGUGAUUUUUAUGCCAAAUCCCCCCACGCCACCCCCAUUGCAUUAUAGGGGACACAGACCAGAAAACGUGAGUGCUGCUUGGUCCAUUACAAGCUCUCCUUGCCAGCAUGAAGGACAGAGCCUCCCAGCCUGAACCCCGGACCCGAUUCUCGGAGUCCACUGACUGCAAUUCUAAGACCAGGAGGGGCCCCGACCUCGCUGUCCCGGUGGGUGCAUCGGAAUAGCAAGAUGUAAGCUCACAACUCCGAGUGCUUUUCAGUAAAAUGAGGCUGACCUCUCAGCCCCAAUGAAACAAUAUUACUGAGUAAUAUCUUCCUGAAAUACUUAUGUCCAAUGCAGACUACAGCAGAAAUUGCAAAAAUACUCAGAAAGGCUGUUCUAUAGGACAUGUGGAGCUUUCUAGGUAGCAUAAAGUUAUCUGUGACACGCGGGAUUUUUUAAAUGGGCCAUCACACCACGCUCACCUCCAAACAGACUCUCCCUGUUGGGAGUGUGGUGCGUGAGCAGGUGUAUUUGGCAAUAGGCGAUCAGCAAUGUGCUUCUUUUCUUGGGACAGUCCUAUGGAAUAGCUAACAUUCAUCCACGCCCUCUUUUUAAACCUCAUUAGGAAACGGGUCUGGCUGGGUGUGGCCUUCCCUGUGGGCACUGGCUCUGAAGCUCUGCCGACCCGCCACCAGGGGGCGAGUCUCUGAGCUUAAAACCUGGCAUGCUCCUGCGGGACAGGAAAUAGAAAACAGACCCACUUCUCCGCGCUGGAAUCCAACCUCGGAUUAAACAGGACUCACAAUUCUCUGGGAGGACCCGCUUCCUGUGCCAGGGGCCGUGUGUGGGGAGAUGAGGUGCAUGUUCGCCAGAGCCGUGCUCUCCUCUGGGGCUCUGGGGCGCACGUGAGAACCACAGGGUGCUCCCCGUGCCCUGCGCGCCCGGCCACGCCCUGGCACCGCCCCAGAGCCCACGCCCCAGCAGGCUUGUCUUGCAAAGCCCGUGGGGACAUGAGAUGUCUCCUCUUAAAAAAUGCUUAAACCACGAACAACAAGCUGACCAGAAUCCCUCUCCACUGCCUUUGAACUAAAAAGCACCCCCUGUGUCAGCAAAGUCCCAGAGCUGUUUGUUCUCUCCCGCAGCUAAAGAGAAAGGGGGUGAAGACAGUUAUGUCAUGUUCAGAUAAUGUAGGCAGCACACAUGUGUCCUCCCCAGAGCGGGGGCUAGGAGACAAACAGCCACGGCGCUUAUGAAAAGUUAUAACCCCCUUGGCAAUCACAAAUAGUUUGUCCGUCUUUGAACUGAAUGCCAAAGGCUUGUCCUCUUUCCAACAAGUGGAAACGCUGUGAUUUUUCUCUCCCCCUUUCUCAGAAAUCGGAGGAAUUUGAAAGCUUCAC